AAGACUAUUUUCAGAGAUCAUUUCUAUAGCUCAUUACUAGAGAAGUUUCUCUAUUAUGUAGGGCACUGGAAACCACCAGGAGGAGAUACAGCGUUCCCUUGUGAGCCUGAGGCUGAUUCUUGAUGUGCUUCACUGCAUUUGCCAUUUUACCAUUUGCCAUUGAUGAUUGUUCUUGCUUUCCUUUGUGGGAGAAAGAGGGAGAGAAUGCAGUCUGAGUGGA
rnacentral:snoRNA from 1 species